GACGAACGCUGGCGGCGCGCUUAACACAUGCAAGUCGAGCGAGAACCAGACCUUCGGGUCUGGGGACAGCGGCGAACGGGUGAGUAACACGUGGGUAAUCAACCCUCGGUACUGGGAUAGCCCGGGGAAACCCGGAUUAAUACCGGAUGGCCCUUCGGAUCUUCGGUUCUGAAGGAAAAGGUAGCUUCGGCCUCCGACCGAGGACGAGCCCGCGGCGGAUUAGCUUGUUGGUGGGGUAACGGCCUACCAAGGCGACGAUCCGUAGCUGGGCUGAGAGGACGAUCAGCCACACUGGGACUGAGACACGGCCCAGACUCCUACGGGAGGCAGCAGUGGGGAAUCUUGCGCUAAUGCGGGAAACCGUGACGCAGCGACGCCGCGUGGGGGAAGAAGGCCUUCGGGUUGUAAACCUCUUUCAGGAGGGACGAAGCUACUCGGGUUAAUAGCCCAGAGGGUGACGGUACCUCCAGAAGAAGCCCCGGCUAACUACGUGCCAGCCGCCGCCGUAACAC
rnacentral:rRNA from 1 species